rnacentral:tRNA from 1 species
GCUGGAAAUAGCUCAGUUGGUAGAGUGUUUGCUCCACACACAAAAGGCCCUGGGUUCAAUUCCCAGCACCACCA